rnacentral:rRNA from 1 species
GAUCCUGGCUCAGGAUGAACGCUGGCGGCGUGCAUAACACAUUCAAGUCGAACGGGGCAGCAAUGCCUAGUGGCGGACGGGUGAGUAACGCGUGAGCAACCUGCCCUUGCGUGGGGGAUACCAUCUGGAAACGGAUGUUAAUACCGCAUAAAGUACAGGCGACCGCAUGGUCGUAGUACCAAAGAUUUAUUGCGCAAGGAUGGGCUCGCGUCCCAUUAGAUAGUUGGCGAGGUAACGGCCC